rnacentral:rRNA from 1 species
AUACGUAGGGGGCGAGCGUUGUCCGGAAUGAUUGGGCGUAAAGGGCGCGUAGGCGGCGCGGUAAGUCUGGAGUGAAAGUCCUGCUUUCAAGGUGGGAAUUGCUUUGGAUACUGCCGCGCUUGAGUGCAGGAGAGGUUAUCGGAAUUCCCGGUGUAGCGGUGAAAUGCGUAGAGAUCGGGAGGAACACCAGUGGCGAAGGCGGGUAACUGGGCUGAAACUGACGCUGAGGCGCGAAAGUGUGGGGAGCAAACAGGAUUAGAUACCCUGGUAGUCCACACUGUAAACGAUGAAUGCUAGGUGUAGGAGGUAUCGACCCCUUCUGUGCCGCAGUAAACACAGUAAGCAUUCCGCCUGGGGAGUACGGUCGCAAGAUUAAAACUCAAAUGAAUUGACGGGG